rnacentral:rRNA from 1 species
CGCCUACGGGAGGCAGCAGUUAAGAAUCUUGCGCAAUGGGGGGAACCCUGACGCAGCGACGCCGCGUGGAUGAUGAAGGCCUUCGGGUUGUAAAGUCCAGUAAGCAGGGAAGAAUAAGCGUGGGGUAAUAUUCCACGUGAUGACGGUACCUGCCUAAAGCCCCGGCUAACUACGUGCCAGCAGCCGCGGUAAUACGUAUGGGGCGAGCGUUGUUCGGAAUUAUUGGGCGUAAAGGGCGUCUAGGCGGGAGAUUAAGUUAGAUGUGAAAGCCAUGGGCUCAACCCAUGAAUAGCAUCUAAGACUGGUUUUCUUGAGUUCGGGAGAGGAGAGCUGAAUUCCUGGUGUAGCGGUGAAAUGCGUAGAUAUCAGGAAGAACACCGGUGGCGAAGGCGGCUCUCUGGCCUAGGACUGACGCUGAAGCGCGAAAGCGUGGGGAGCAAACAGGAUUAGAUACCCCUGUAGUCG